rnacentral:misc_RNA from 1 species
AGCUAAAUCACAAUUGCAUGAGAUUUGUGUUGCUAACAGUUGGAAUCCUCCUUUAUUUGAAUGCUGCAAAGAGGAAGGACCUUGCCACCAGAGAUUGUUCACAUUCAAGGUCACAGUGGAGAUUGAAGGGGCAGGUGCUGCAUCUAGCGNNGUGUUAUGGAGCCCCUAGGGCAAAAAAGAAGACUGCAGCAGAGCAUGCAGCUGAAGGGGCC